rnacentral:rRNA from 1 species
UGGGGAAUUUUGCACAAUGGGGGAAACCCUGAUGCAGCGACGCCGCGUGAUUUAGAAGGCCUUCGGGUUGUAAAAAUCUUUUCUAUGGGAAGAAAAUGACAGUACCAUAGGAAUAAGGACCGGCUAAUUACGUGCCAGCAGCCGCGGUAAUACGUAAGGUCCGAGCGUUGUCCGGAAUCAUUGGGCGUAAAGGGUACGUAGGCGGGUAAGCAAGUUAGAAGUGAAAUCCUAUAGCUCAACUAUAGUAAGCUUUUAAAACUGCUCAUCUUGAGGUAUGGAAGGGAAAGUGGAAUUCCUAGUGUGGCGGUGAAAUGCGCAGAUAUUAGGAGGAAUACCGGUGGCGAAGGCGACUUUCUGGCCAUAACCUGACGCUGAGGUACGAAAGCGUGGGUAGCAAACAGG